rnacentral:snRNA from 2 species
CUUUGCUUCGGCAAGACAUAUCCAAAUUUGGAACGAUACAGAGAAGAUUUGCGUAGCCCCUGCGCAAGUUGUAAGUUGUAAAUUUUACCAGGCUGGAAUUUUCU